rnacentral:rRNA from 1 species
GACGAACGCUGGCGGCGUGCUUAACACAUGCAAGUCGAACGGAAAGGCCCUGCUUUUGUGGGGUGCUCGAGUGGCGAACGGGUGAGUAACACGUGAGUAACCUGCCCUUGACUUUGGGAUAACUUCAGGAAACUGGGGCUAAUACCGGAUAGGAGCUCCUGCUGCAUGGUGGGGGUUGGAAAGUUUCGGCGGGUGGGGAUGGACUCGCGGCUUAUCAGCUUGUUGGUGGGGUAGUGGCUUACCAAGGCUUUGACGGGUAGCCGGCCUGAGAGGGUGACCGGCCACAUUGGGACUGAGAUACGGCCCAGACUCCUACGGGAGGCAGCAGUGGGGAAUAUUGCACGAUGGGCGGAAGCCUGAUGCAGCAACGCCGCGUGCGGGAUGACGGCCUUCGGGUUGUAAACCGCUUUCGCCUGUGACGAAGCGUGAGUGACGGUAAUGGGUAAAGAAGCACCGGCUAACUACGUG